rnacentral:rRNA from 1 species
GACGAACGCUGGCGGCGCGCUUAACACAUGCAAGUCGAACGGAAAGGCCUGCUUUCCCUUGUGGAUUGCGGGUACUCGAGUGGCGAACGGGUGAGUAACACGUGAGUGAUCUGCCCCCAACUUGGGUAUAAGCCUGGGAAACUGGGUCUAAUUCCCGAUAGGACUGCAGGGUGGUGCCUGUGGUGGAAAACGAUUUUCUAGUGGUUGGGGAUGAGCUCGCGGCCUAUCGGCUUGUUGGUGGGGUAAUGGCCUACCAAGGCGGCGACGGGUAGCCGGCCUGAGAGGGUGGACGGCCACAGUGGGACUGAGAUACGGCCCAGACUCCUACGGGAGGCAGCAGUGGGGAAUAUUGCACAAUGGGCGGAAGCCUGAUGCAGCGACGCCGAGUGGGGGAUGACGGCCUUCGGGUUGUAAACUCCUUUCGACCGCGAGGAAGCCACAUGGUUGGAAGGGUGGUGACGGUAGUGGUAGAAGAAGCACCGGCUAACUACGUG